rnacentral:lncRNA from 1 species
AGAUAAAGCAGCCAUUCAUACAUACACACACAAUAAAAGUAAAUAAGCAUUGUUAAUAAUUUUAACAUAAAGAUAUGGAAGAAUAUUCUAUAUGGUCAGUGAAAUAAUAAAGUUGACAUCGGUUUGUUAAGCUACAUGAGAAACUGUCCAGUGCUCUUUACUGCAGUACAUUUCUAACUGGUAAAGACUAUUACCCAACUGUCUUCCUGUGCUGGACCUUCUGGGGCUCCAGCACACCAUGGUACCUCAGGAUGCACAACAGAUUGUUGACUUGCUUUAAAUCAAAGUUGGUUUUCAAUAUAUCUUACACAGCUCAUUGGAGCUUUAACUAGGGGGCAGGUAACUUUUUAAGGAUUCUUUGUUUUAUUUUACAUAUAUGAAUGCUUAUAUGUAUGUAUGUAUGUAUGUAUGUAUGUAUGUAUGUAUGUAUGUAUGUAUAUCAUGCAUGUGUUUCAUGUCCAUGGAGGCCAGAACAAGGAUAGGGAUGCCCAGAAACUGGAGUUGCAUACAGUUAUGAGCUACUAUGUGGGUUCUAGGAAUUGACACUAGAUCCUCUCUCAGAAGGUCAAGUGAUAUUAACCACUGAGCCAUCUCCAACCCCGAGGGGAUAGCAUCACUAUGGAAAGUACUAACAGAAAGAGUAAAAGCAAACAAAUGUUUUCUUCAUGCUUUUCUCAGAGAUAUUUAUGAUUGGAAAAAUCAUUGGAAAUUUAUUCACAGUUACCUCUGAGGGAAACAAUCCAUUACUUCAAAUAAUGUCUAUGAAAACCCUUGAUAUAAAUUGAAGGUCACAAUCAAUUUCAAGGAUUCUAUCUUAGAAACUGACUGUCUGAUCCAAGUAAACAUUGACAUCUGUGUAGAUAAUGAGACAAUAAAACAAAGAAAUAAAACUGUGGUCCUCCAAACAGGAUGGAGAGAAAGUCAUUUUGGUAUGGAGAUCUACAGUCAUCACCUUCUACAAAUGACCAAACACUAGUUUUAAGCUAUAGUUAAAGGUAGAAUGAAUAUUAAUUCCUUGUAGAUAAUUUGUAUAAAUAUCCAUUGAAGAAAGGCUAUAUAUGUUUUGUCAUUUGAAUAACUCAAUACUAUUGCUAUCUACUUACUAAUAAUUUGUUUUCAGUGUAUAUAAGCAAAGUUACCUCAAAGCAAAAAAAAAAAUGCAUGAUAAAAUAGGUCAUUUGAUCAGAUAUGAUCAUUCAUGUUGUUAGUUCCAGCUAUCACUAGGGAUAGGCAGGUGGAUCUCUGUGAGGCCAAAGCCAGCCUAGUUGAUAUACUGAGUUCCAGGACAACUAGGGCUAUAUGAUAAGAUUCCACCAUAAAAUAAUUAAAUAAAUACAAAAACACCUUAAUCAAGGGAUAGAAAGAAGUGAAUGCAAAUCUUUAUCAAGUAUUAUAAUGACCUGCUUCCUAAGCAUCCAUUAACAUUUACAAAUGUACAUGUUAAAUUCUUCAUGGUACUUAAAAAUUUGCCAGUAUGUCUUUAUUCAAGAUGGCUGCUUUGAGUGCCCAAACCCAUUUCAAAAUGUGCCUAUUCUCUGGAAGCAUGCUUUCUCCUUAGGACCAUAUUCUAUGGUAUGGUCCUUUUAAUAGUCAGCAAAGGAAUAUAUCAGUUGACUGAACAAUAGAUAGAUUGGUGACAGCUCUGAAGUCUCAAAAAUUGCAAAUGCAAUUAAAAUCAUUCACAACAAGCCCCCACCAAAAGAUGAACCCACCAGGAAUACAUUCAGAGCUUGCAUCGUUUCUACAUAUUUUUCUCUAAAAGGAUUAUUUUAAAUGUUAAGUUUCAAACAUGUCUAAUAUAAUAGUAAAGGUACCAGUAUUAUAAAACUCCCUUAACAUUGGCAUCAUCUUAUUUACCAAUGUAUUGUUAACUUACUUUACGCACAAGGAUCUUCUCUAUCACAAGGAAGGCCAUAUAUAUAUAUAUAUAUAUAUAUAUAUAUAUAUAUAUAUAUAUAUAUAUUUCAUCUCUGCUUGAUCUGUCUUAAAUAUAAUACAAGAAUAGUCAAAUGUGUCAAAUCUGAAGUGCAAAGUAGGACAUUUUAGACCUAAUGAAAGACAUGAAGCAUAUUAGUUCUAGUUUACAUAGUGUCUUAAAUGAGGUAGUGGUUUAUGUAGAUCUGUAAUGAUUGCUAGGGUUUAAGUAGUGGGGACUCUGAGUAUCAUAAAUAAGAUGAGAAAAUGACUAAGUGAAGGGCAUAAAAUAAAAUUAAUAAAAUGGAGUGGCAUAGUGUUGAUGAAGCACAGUGCUCAGGGAAAGGUGAUGAUCACAGAAUAAGUUUUUCCCACAUUAUGUGUUCAGUACUCACAGAAAGUUUUUAUAUACUUAUUUGUAACUAGAGAUAUGUUUCAUUAUAUACUUGAGAAAGAAUGAAAGAAAGAAAGG